rnacentral:rRNA from 1 species
AGAGUUUGAUCCUGGCUCAGAAUCAACGCUGGCGGCGUGCCUCAGACAUGCAAGUCGAACGAUUAAACUUCUCUUCGGAGAAGAUAUAAAGUGGCGCACGGGUGAGUAACACGUAAGUAAUCUACCUUUGGAUGGGGAAUAACAGUCGGAAACGACUGCUAAUACCGCAUAAUGCAGCGGCAUCAUAAGAUGACAGUUGUUAAAGUAUUUAUACGUCUGGAGAGGAGCUUGCGGCAGAUUAGCUAGUUGGUAAGGUAACGGCUUACCAAGGCGACGAUCUGUAUCCGACCUGAGAGGGUGGUCGGACACACUGACACUGAAUAACGGGUCAGACUCCUACGGGAGGCAGCAGUCGGGAAUUUUGGGCAAUGGGCGAAAGCCUGACCCAGCAACGCCGCGUGAAGGAUGAAGUCUUUCGGGAUGUAAACUUCGUAAGAAUAGGAAGAAUAAAUGACGGUACUAUUUGUAAGGUCCGGCUAACUACGUGCCAGCAGCCGCGGUAAUACGUAGGGACCAAGCGUUGUUCGGAUUUACUGGGCGUAAAGGGCGCGUAGGCGGCGUGACAAGUCACUUGUGAAAUCUCCGGGCUUAACUCGGAACGGUCAAGUGAUACUGUUGUGCUAGAGUGCAGAAGGGGCAAUCGGAAUUCUUGGUGUAGCGGUGAAAUGCGUAGAUAUCAAGAGGAACACCUGAGGUGAAGACGGGUUGCUGGGCUGACACUGACGCUGAGGCGCGAAAGCUAGGGUAGCAAACGGGAUUAGAUACCCCAGUAGUCC